rnacentral:ncRNA from 1 species
UUUGGUUCCGUAUGCGCCACUGCGUGUUCGGAUUAAAAGGGAAUACGGUGAGAUGCCGUAACAGCCCCCGCUACUGUAUGGAACAGCGUUUGCCGAUAUGCCACUGCGAAAGCGGGAAGGCGGCAAAUGUGUAUGUCCGAGUCAGGAGACCUGCCUUAGAAC